CUCAAAGUUUGAGUCUACAAGCUCAGCUAGGGGAAAAGAACAAAUUGGAACGGAACAGUUUCCAAACAGUGAAGGAGGUUUUUCCAAACUCAAACCUAACUGAACAUGAGGAUGAAUUGGCAUUAGGCGAACACAGUCAGUUAUUCAGUCUACCACCUGACAGUGUGUUAAAUUUAAAUUCUGUUAGUGCUGCACAAAAAGAAUCGUUAGUAAUAAGCCCAUGCAGUGAAGGAAGUGAACAAUUGUGGGACCGUAUUUGGGCCAAAAAUGGGUGUGGUACGGAAACCAAGAUAUGGCACAAGUUCAACAUGAAACAUGGAUUAGAAUUUAAUGGGGGAUCAAAUCAAGUCUGGAAGUGUUACAGGAUGGAAGAGUCAGCCUACAGAUGAAAAAACACAGAGUGCAUUACCAUUAAGUACAACAGCAAUCCUUUAUAGUUCUGUCACAGCUAGAAACCUCAAAUAAUUCUGCUUCUCUGUCUAAAGAACAACUUGUCCUUUACGUUCAGAGUGUUGGGGAAACUGGGUACUUAAAUGGCCCUAAAGAUGUUUUAAUUUUGCUGCCAUUGCAGAGAUGAACAUCAUACAUGGACUCUUUAGGUCUAAUCUACCAAAAAAAUUUUAUCCAAAAGGAAAGGAUUUUCAUGUACUGGGAACACAACUAUCAACAAUGCAACAUUGUACAGCUUCCACCAGAAGUUGAAUCUAUGAGUCAUGUAAGUUACAUGAUCAACAGUUGAUAUGUUUAACGGUGUUGUUUUUCUUUUCUCAAUAUAGGUUAAUAGUAACAUUGGAUCUGAAAAAAUUCUUGGUUGGGGCAAGACACUGAAUAAAUUGUAUUGAUUGGAUGGAUGACAUGACAUUUCUAUACUUAAUUCGGAUUCCCCAGACGGUAUUUGAUAUUAAAAAAAUUGAAGUGCAUAUCUGGGCUCCCUUCUUUUCUGAAGCCCCGUUUCCCCUUGACUCGUAAUAAGCCCGUAGGGGGUCAUGCCCCUACUGUACGGUAUAUAUAAAAAUAACAUAUACCGAGGUUUGGAGGGCUCUGGCCGGAAAGGGGACGUGGGGUGCCGCUUAGUCCGAUGAUGUGUUCACGGAGGGCUCUGUGGCUACCCACAAAUCCGAACUAAAGGUUAAUCGCUCCUGUAAAAAUGUUCCAAAUCUUCAGCUCUUCUUCCGGCUUCUCUUAGCCAAUCACCGGGUAAUCUCCCCGGUGGGUCAACAAGGCAGUGUCUCCCCCUGCCUGGGUUGACGGCAACUCUUGAAAGGGCUAUUAUGCCUUUUUAAAGUUGC